AUGAUGAGCAGCGUCUCCCCUCCGGCGCCGUCGCUCCCCUCCGGGGGUGGAAGCUUCUUCAGAGGGUACACGAAGCUCUGCAAGGGCCUCGCCGUCAUAUUGCUUCUCGUGCACCUCUUGGUCCAGCUGUUCCCAUCAGCCGUCAACUAUCUCGCGCUUAUCCCCGCAAGGACAAUCCCUUUCGCCUGGAACUUGAUUACUGCUGGCUAUGUCGAGCAAACAAUUCCAGGGGUGAUUAUCAGCAUCAUUGGUCUUCUUUUAUUUGGGAAAUUAUUAGAGCCUUUAUGGGGCACAAAGGAGUUAUCAAAGUUCGUUUUUAUUGUCAACUUCUCAACUUCAAUGUGUGUCUUCGUAACUGCUAUUGCUGUGUACUAUGUAACACAACAAGAGAGCUACCUCUACACUCCUCUUUCUGGUUUUUAUGGGGUUCUGUCAGGAUUGUUGGUGGGCAUCAAGCAACUUAUGCCAGAGAUGGAGCUUAAUCUUUUCGUGCUGAAGAUUAAGGGAAAGUGGAUCCCAUCACUUAUUGCACUGAUCUCCGUUGUUGUAAGCUUCUUCAUGAAGGACUUGGUAUCUUACCUCCCAGUUAUACUGUUUGGCAUUUAUAUGAGUUGGAUUUACCUGCGUUACUUCCAAAAGAGGCUAGAGACAGGCCUGAAAGGGGAUCCAAGCGAGGAGUUCUCUUUCUCAAGUUUCUUCCCUGCAAUUCUGAGACCAGUUCUGGAUCCAAUAGCCACAAUAUUCCAUAGGCUUCUGUGUGGAAGAUCUGAUAGGGCAGACCGGGGUCAGACAUUGGAAACGUCAUCAUUGCCGGGUUCAGAUUCUACUGAGGCAAACAGGAGGAGGGAAAGGGGUCAAAGGGCACUGGAGCAAAGAUUGGCUGAGAAGCUGGCUGCGGUCAAGAGUACAGAGAGCACGUCUCUCGACGCAUCCGACAAAGUUUGA
rnacentral:rRNA from 1 species